GAGGCGAUGAAGGACGUGCUAAUCUGCGAUAAGCGUCGGUAAGGUGAUAUGAACCGUUAUAACCGGCGAUUUCCGAAUGGGGAAACCCAGUGUGUUUCGACACACUAUCAUUAACUGAAUCCAUAGGUUAAUGAGGCGAACCGGGGGAACUGAAACAUCUAAGUACCCCGAGGAAAAGAAAUCAACCGAGAUUCCCCCAGUAGCGGCGAGCGAACGGGGAGCAGCCCAGAGCCUGAAUCAGUAUGUGUGUUAGUGGAAGCGUCUGGAAAGGCGCGCGAUACAGGGUGACAGCCCCGUACACAAAAAUGCACAUGCUGUGAGCUCGAUGAGUAGGGCGGGACACGUGGUAUCCUGUCUGAAUAUGGGGGGACCAUCCUCCAAGGCUAAAUACUCCUGACUGACCGAUAGUGAACCAGUACCGUGAGGGAAAGGCGAAAAGAACCCCGGCGAGGGGAGUGAAAAAGAACCUGAAACCGUGUACGUACAAGCAGUGGGAGCACGCUUAGGCGUGUGACUGCGUACCUUUUGUAUAAUGGGUCAGCGACUUAUAUUCUGUAGCAAGGUUAACCGAAUAGGGGAGCCGAAGGGAAACCGAGUCUUAACUGGGCGUUAAGUUGCAGGGUAUAGACCCGAAACCCGGUGAUCUAGCCAUGGGCAGGUUGAAGGUUGGGUAACACUAACUGGAGGACCGAACCGACUAAUGUUGAAAAAUUAGCGGAUGACUUGUGGCUGGGGGUGAAAGGCCAAUCAAACCGGGAGAUAGCUGGUUCUCCCCGAAAGCUAUUUAGGUAGCGCCUCGUGAAUUCAUCUCCGGGGGUAGAGCACUGUUUCGGCAAGGGGGUCAUCCCGACUUACCAACCCGAUGCAAACUGCGAAUACCGGAGAAUGUUAUCACGGGAGACACACGGCGGGUGCUAACGUCCGUCGUGAAGAGGGAAACAACCCAGACCGCCAGCUAAGGUCCCAAAGUCAUGGUUAAGUGGGAAACGAUGUGGGAAGGCCCAGACAGCCAGGAUGUUGGCUUAGAAGCAGCCAUCAUUUAAAGAAAGCGUAAUAGCUCACUGGUCGAGUCGGCCUGCGCGGAAGAUGUAACGGGGCUAAACCAUGCACCGAAGCUGCGGCAGCGACGCUGAUGCGUUGUUGGGUAGGGGAGCGUUCUGUAAGCCUGCGAAGGUGUGCUGUGAGGCAUGCUGGAGGUAUCAGAAGUGCGAAUGCUGACAUAAGUAACGAUAAAGCGGGUGAAAAGCCCGCUCGCCGGAAGACCAAGGGUUCCUGUCCAACGUUAAUCGGGGCAGGGUGAGUCGACCCCUAAGGCGAGGCCGAAAGGCGUAGUCGAUGGGAAACAGGUUAAUAUUCCUGUACUUGGUGUUACUGCGAAGGGGGGACGGAGAAGGCUAUGUUGGCCGGGCGACGGUUGUCCCGGUUUAAGCGU
rnacentral:rRNA from 1 species